AAGGAUUUAAGUUAAAUUAAACUAACAGCCUUCAAAGCUGUAAAUAAAAAGCCCCCCCCCUUUUUAAACCUUA
rnacentral:tRNA from 1 species